rnacentral:sRNA from 1 species
CAUGGGGCCCUGCUCCGGGACCAGUCCCUCUGCUGGGACUCAGGGCUCCUGGGAUUCAUCAGUCUCCUCCUCAGUGUCUGCAGCACAGCAGCCAACACUUCUGGAGCACAUGGCCCUGCAGUGAAGGAUUCUGGAGCCCACAUUCAUCUGAAGGGGAUCCGAGGAGGUUCUGUCUUGUUGAAUGUGAUGGAGAAGCUCAGAGUAGAUGUAGGCGCUGAGCUGGAGGAGGUCGUAUGGACUUUGGGCACUCUGUCAAAUCAUACACAGGUGCUGUGAGUCCACAGAGGGGCCGACUCUCCAACCUGGGUCGGCCUCCAGGACAAGUUCAAGCAGAGGGUCCAUGUGCCCAGUGUGUUGUCUCUGAGGAUUGAGAACCUGGCCCCUGAAGACAGUGGGCAGUACAUAGCCAUGAUCCGCUUAACUGGGGGACAAUUAUCUGGCCAGGUUUUCUACCUCACUGUCUGUGAGCCUGUGCCUCAUCCUGAGAUCCUGGCCAAGUCACUGUCUAUCAUACCAGGCUCGUGUAACAUCACCCUGGAGUGUAGGGCUCCAGGAGCCACAGAGGACCUGUAUGUGACUUGGGAGAGCAAGGACCUCCUCAGAGAGCUGGAGCACAGAGAAACACCAGGACCAUCCCCCAACCCAUGGACCCUGGCUGUGAACCUGCCCCUGAGCCAGCCGAACAGCAAUCUCACCUGUGUGGUCAGCAACCAGGUGGAUCAGAAAGAUGUAACCUUACCCUGGGGAAGCCUGUGUCAAGGUUCAUGUAGACUGGACAUGGCUCUCCUUCUGCGAGAUAUUUUUGGAGUCAUUGCAUUUGUGCUGUUGAUCUUGGGAGCUGGGCUGUACCUCUGGAAGAAACAUGGGAAGAAGAAGAAG